AGCCUAGUGUCCCUCUGAAGCAACCUUGAACGCUCAAAACCAUCGCUUACUAUUAAUUUUUAGUAAAGUCUUCAUAAUCAUUUAGCUUAUUGUAAAUGCUAAGCCCGAACAAGCCUGAUCGAUGUGUACGUAUUGUUGAAUAAGCAAACCUAAUUUAACAUAUAUGCAGUAAGAGCAACAAUGUCCAGCAAGAAGCCAUACUUUGGCAAGACCGAAAUCUUUCCUGAAACUGUUUAACAAAUUUAAAGCCCGGGUAAACUUUUCUGUACUAUCACUACCGAAUUGUUUAUUUGAAAGCCUAUUCCAGUUUCGAAAUGACCAUAUGAAAGUUCAUAUUAGGAAUGUCUGGUAUAAUAAAUGCUUCCGGUCCCAAUGUACGGGAACGGAUCACCCGAAAAGGAGACAGAGAAUCUGCACCUGCAUUACUUGAGCCUGGAAUAUACAACGCUCGAAUCUGAAUAUAUUUACUCUUUAAUAACAA
rnacentral:lncRNA from 1 species